AAGAGGCAUAGCUCACAAAUGAACAGGAGUGCAGAGGGAAUCAGCAAUUGUCUCCUGGGAGAAGAAGAAAAGACAUGAAAGGGACCGCAGUAAAGCAAAAGCUGCCGUUUCACUCCAAUACAAAUGAUCUAGCCCCAGAAACCCUGCUGUUAACCAGCACAACCUUCAUGCAGGAUGAAAAUAGAUCUAAGAAGAGUGACACGUUCAGGUUGUGCACUAUUUAUAAUAAAAAUGAGUAAGGAAUUUGUGGAAAUGGAACUGACAACCAGCCUUCUCUCAGAAUCAGGAAACAGCAUCCUAUCACAGCAGUUCCUUCUGGUGCUGGGGAUGAGAGCAGAUGAUGACUCAGACAGAUGCUGAGUUGGAGCUAUUGGUGCAAGGUCGUAUACAAUAGGUGUCCUCACUCGAAAGGGGUCAGUAUGGAAGUGAAAUUGGUGCUGCUCUAAAUGCAUGAGAAAAAUAAGAUUUGUGGCAGGAAGGAAAAGCUCGGCAGAGUAUUGUGCUACCAUGGAUGGACCAGAUGCUGCAGAGUUCCAGCCACCCCGGGACCGCGUUUUGCAGACAGUGCUGAGCAGGGUUUGAUGCUGAGCUCUGGCAGCACGGCCCUCCAUCCAAAUCCACACCGCGACAUCGGUAUGCCUGCUGAAAGCGGUCCAGGCAUCCCGUGCACACUCAUGAGAGAGAAUUUGGCCAGUAUGCUACCAGAAAGGGAAAAACUUAAAAGGGAGGCAAGGCAUGCAGAUUGCUGAGAGCCACCUGUCAAGGAUAACCAGUGUGCAGGCAGAUCAACGACACUAUUUAAUGUUGCAAUAGAUGCAACUAACUCUUCACCACAGAGCUUAAUGUGGACAAGAUUCCUGCUACAGGAGCAAAUGACUGCGUCUGACAAGAACAAGGAAAGUGAAUCAGUAGUUGCAUUCAGAAAUCUAAG